rnacentral:rRNA from 1 species
AUGGCGUCCGUAGCGGCGGUGGAGGGCGCGGCCGCGGCGCUCCGGUCGGUGCUGUCGCGCGCGCAGCAGGCGGCGGCGCGGGCGGGGCGCGCUCCGGAGUCGGUGCGCGUGGUGGCGGUGAGCAAGACGAAGCCCGUGGGCGUCAUCCGCGGCGUGUACGACGCCGGCCACCGCUGCUUCGGCGAGAACUACGUCCAGGAGCUCAUCGACAAGGCCCCCCAGCUUCCAGAGGAUAUUGAGUGGCACUUCAUUGGGAACCUGCAGAGCAACAAAGCCAAAGCCCUCCUAGCUGGUGUACCAAAUCUUGACAUGGUUGAGAGCGUAGACGAUGAGAAGAUCGCAAAUCGUCUUGAUCGGGUGGUAGCUGAUUUGGGGAGAAAACCUCUUAAGGUCUUGGUCCAAGUCAACACAAGUGGAGAAGAAUCAAAAUUUGGAGUAGAUCCCUCAGGGUGUGUGGGAUUAGCAAAGCAUGUCAAGUUGAGCUGCCCAAAUCUUGUAUUUUCUGGUUUGAUGACAAUUGGAAUGCUUGAUUACUCCUCAACUCCAGAGAAUUUCAAGGCAUUGACUAGUUGCCGGAAGGAGGUAUGCAAUGAACUUGGAAUACCAGAAGAGCAGUGCGAGCUGUCAAUGGGCAUGUCUGCCGAUUUUGAGCAGGCGAUUGAAAUGGGCAGCACAAAUGUCAGAGUUGGAUCAACCAUAUUUGGUGCAAGAGAAUACCCAAAGAAGAACUAG